rnacentral:rRNA from 1 species
CGUAGGUGGCAAGCGUUGUCCGGAAUUAUUGGGCGUAAAGCGCGCGCAGGCGGCUUCUUAAGUCUGAUGUGAAAUCUUGCGGCUCAACCGCGAGCGGCCAUUGGAAACUGGGAAGCUUGAGUGCAGGAGAGGGGAGCGGAAUUCCACGUGUAGCGGUGAAAUGCGUAGAGAUGUGGAGGAACACCAGUGGCGAAGGCGGCUCUCUGGCCUGUAACUGACGCUGAGGCGCGAAAGCGUGGGGAGCGAACAGGAUU